UAACGCGAAGAACCUUACCAGGUCUUGACAUCUUCUGAUAGCCUAAGAGAUUAGGUGUUCCCUUCGGGGACAGAAUGACAGGUGGUGCAUGGUUGUCGUCAGCUCGUGUCGUGAAAUGUUGGGUUAAGUCCCGCAACGAGCGCAACCCUUAUUGUCAGUUGCCAGCAUUAAGUUGGGCACUCUGGCAAGACUGCCGGUGACAAACCGGAGGAAGGUGGGGAUGACGUCAAAUCAUCAUGCCCCUUAUGACCUGGGCUACACACGUGCUACAAUGGACGAUACAACGAGUCGCUAGACCGCGAGGUUAAGCUAAUCUCUGAAAGUCGUUCUCAGUUCGGAUUGCAGGCUGCAACUCGCCUGCAUGAAGUCGGAAUCGCUAGUAAUCGCGGAUCAGC
rnacentral:rRNA from 1 species